rnacentral:rRNA from 1 species
UGCAAGUCGAACGCUUUUUCUUUCACCGGAGCUUGCUCCACCGAAAGAAAAAGAGUGGCGAACGGGUGAGUAACACGUGGGUAACCUGCCCAUCAGAAGGGGAUAACACUUGGAAACAGGUGCUAAUACCGUAUAACACUAUUUUCCGCAUGGAAGAAAGUUGAAAGGCGCUUUUGCGUCACUGAUGGAUGGACCCGCGGUGCAUUAGCUAGUUGGUGAGGUAACGGCUCACCAAGGCCACGAUGCAUAGCCGACCUGAGAGGGUGAUCGGCCACACUGGGACUGAGACACGGCCCAGACUCCUACGGGAGGCAGCAGUAGGGAAUCUUCGGCAAUGGACGAAAGUCUGACCGAGCAACGCCGCGUGAGUGAAGAAGGUUUUCGGAUCGUAAAACUCUGUUGUUAGAGAAGAACAAGGAUGAGAGUAGAACGUUCAUCCCUUGACGGUAUCUAACCAGAAAGCCACGGCUAACUACGUGCCAGCAGCCGCGGUAAUACGUAGGUGGCAAGCGUUGUCCGGAUUUAUUGGGCGUAAAGCGAGCGCAGGCGGUUUCUUAAGUCUGAUGUGAAAGCCCCCGGCUCAACCGGGGAGGGUCAUUGGAAACUGGGAGACUUGAGUGCAGAAGAGGAGAGUGGAAUUCCAUGUGUAGCGGUGAAAUGCGUAGAUAUAUGGAGGAACACCAGUGGCGAAGGCGGCUCUCUGGUCUGUAACUGACGCUGAGGCUCGAAAGCGUGGGGAGCGAACAGGAUUAGAUACCCUGGUAGUCCACGCCGUAAACGAUGAGUGCUAAGUGUUGGAGGGUUUCCGCCCUUCAGUGCUGCAGCAAACGCAUUAAGCACUCCGCCUGGGGAGUACGACCGCAAGGUUGAAACUCAAAGGAAUUGACGGGGGCCCGCACAAGCGGUGGAGCAUGUGGUUUAAUUCGAAGCAACGCGAAGAACCUUACCAGGUCUUGACAUCCUUUGACCACUCUAGAGAUAGAGCUUCCCCUUCGGGGGCAAAGUGACAGGUGGUGCAUGGUUGUCGUCAGCUCGUGUCGUGAGAUGUUGGGUUAAGUCCCGCAACGAGCGCAACCCUUAUUGUUAGUUGCCAUCAU